AUAAAUUGCUAGAAAAAAAUAAAAAGUGUUUGAAGUUAAAUAAAUGUUCAUUGAUUGAAUUACAAGUGUUCCCCCAUUUUUGCGAGUCAAUUCAGGGGAACUUUAGAAAAAUUGACAAUCCUCCAACACCUUGCUUGUUUGCUUUUACAUGGAAAAGAGAUAUUAGUAGAUUUCCUAAACUCCAGUUUUCAGUAUGAAGUCUUUGCUUUUCACUCUUCAGUGUACAUCAGUUUGUCCUUCUCUCUUUUCCUUUGUGUUGGUGUCCUGGUCACAUUUCAACAGCUCAUGAACAGAAUCUCCACCUUCACACAAAUUCCUGUCUGUGUGGAUGACAUUGUUAUUUAUAAGCUAUCGGGUUCAGUGGUAUCUCAGCUGUUAAGACUCUUGGCUACUGAUUGGAAAGUCAUGAGGUCACAUCCCAGCACUACAAUGCUGCCAUUGUUGGACUCCUGAUAAAUGCCCUUAAUUCUAAACUGCUCAGACUUUUGUUUGAAACUGUAAUUUGUUUUGGAUGAAAGAAUUGGCUAAAUGUGAAUUUCCAGCAGUUUACUGGAAAAUUACAGGAAACUGAUCCAAAUUGUCCCAUAACAACACAUCCAUAAGUGUGUUAUUCCUCUUAUACCAUAACGACUCAGUGUUGUUUGCAGUUUAAAAAGUUGGAUGAAUGACCAUCAGAAACUUUAUCUGUUUAUAAUUACACUUCUGUUGUGGAAUGUCUGUGAAACACUGAGAGACUUGGCAGUGCUGAUGUGUGUACAGUAUAAGCUCUUCAAUAACAGUUGCAUCAAUAACACAUAACACGUGACCAGUGUACGUGACAGCAGUGUUAUAAAAAGGCGAGUAUUUGAGACAGGAGAGCGAGAGACCAGCCGGUUCUUCUACAGAUAAAGAUCUCUGUACAAAGAUCUCCUCCUGUGAUCAUCUCACAUCUACUGAACUCCAACAUCAAGUUCCAGCAGCUUGUGAUUUCUGCUCUCCUGAGAACAACACUCCUCAUCUCACACUCUUCCUCAUCACACACUCCUCCACCGUGUGUCAGGAUGAAGCUUCUCGCUCUGGUGCUCCUGCUCUCCACUUUCUCCUCACUUACCCUGAUGGAGAUUGUGAUGGAUUUC